UCCCCUUCGCUAGCUGUUUUGCUUUUGGGCCGGGUUUUGAGCUUUAUGCGUUGUUUGGUUGUCUCGAGAUGGAAAAGAAGAUUCAGGCAAUGCCUGGGAAUCACGCUAUCCUAUAUAUGCACACAGUGCGGCGGGGGCGAUUUUUAUUCGGUGGUGCCGGUGAUGGAGAAACAGCUGGUGUGCGCAGCCAACUCAUUCCCUGCCGGGCUUUUUCUUUUCUUUUCUGGGUUAAUCCGAUAUUUUUUUUAUUUUUAUAUUUUUUUAUGAUUUUGCAGAAAUAAGUAGUCGAACUAAAAAUUUGCAAAAAUGGACCUAUGCUGCCGGACCAAAUAGCGGUAGGCCUACCUUUCACCGGUUGAAACGGCGCAAGGGUGCCGGCUGGUAAGUGCCUGCAGCCAGUUCAACCGGCUAUAACU
rnacentral:lncRNA from 1 species